CAAAAAUAAGUCUUCAAAGGAUCUUCAUGAAUGUUGAUAAAUCUUGACUUGAUUUGGGCAUCAUCAAAACUUCAUCUUCAUCAUUUUGCUAACAUUCUCCCCCUUUUUGAUGAUGAUAAAAAACUCCUUUGAAUUAAAGUUUUUAGUAAUAAUCUGAGUAAGAACACAACUCAUGAAAGACAAGGGCAUUAGUGAAUAACAAUAAGCUUUAAGAUAUUUUCUCCCCCUUUUUGAUCAUAAUUAAAAAGUUGUGUUUCAUGUUCUCC
rnacentral:lncRNA from 1 species